CCAAAGCAAGAAAGCAUAUUGUUGGAGCUCAACCUUUUGAAGGAUGACAUACGGCACAUUUUACGUAAUUUAGAUGAUUGGACUCAACCAGAGAAGGUUCCCAGAAACAUGCUGACACUCUUUGACAAGCCUUUGAUAUUUCAUGACCCAUAUGGUGUGGUUCUUAUUAUGGGAGCAUGGAAUUAUCCAGUACAGCUUGCUUUGCUGCCUGUGUCAGGGGCAAUUGCUGCUGGGAACUGUGUUAUUCUCAAACCAUCUGAUCUUGCUCCUGCAACUGCUGAGGCACUUGCGACACUGCUGCCAAAAUAUUUGGAUAAUGACUGUUAUCGUGUUGUAUGUGGAGGGAUUCCAGAAACCACUGAACUUUUAAAGGAACGUUUUGACUAUAUUUUCUACACUGGCUCGCCACAAGUUGGAAAAAUAAUAAGAGAAGCAGCCAACAAGCACUUGACACCAACUACUUUGGAACUAGGGGGCAAAAGUCCUUUGUACAUUGACGAUAGUGUCAAUAUGGAUAUUGCAGUCCGACGUAUUUUAUGGGGAAAGUGUAUAAAUGUUGGACAGACUUGUAUUGCUCCAGACUAUGUCCUUUGCUCCCAAGAAGUUCAAGAGAAAUUUGUUACAAAAGCUGGUGAGGUUUUGAAGGAAUGGUAUGGUGAUAAACCAAGAGAGUCUCCAGAUUUAUGCAGAAUAGUGUCAGAGAAGCAUGUGAGCCGUCUGGAGGAAUACUUAAAAGAGGGAAAGGUAGCUAUUGGUGGAGAAGUUAAUAGGGCAGAGAAAUGGAUAUCACCAACCAUACUGGUUAAUGUUUCUCCAGACAGUAAGGUCAUGACAGAAGAAAUUUUUGGGCCUAUCCUUCCAAUCAUGAAUGUUAACUCAGCCUAUGAAGCAAUCAGGUUCAUUAAUUCAAGAGAUCAUCCGUUGUGUUCGUACUUAUUUACCACAGAAAAAACAACUCAGAAGCUAUUUUUGGAAAGCAUUCAUACUGGGUCUAUUUGUGUCAAUGAUUGCAUUGUUCAUUUCUCGAUUCAUGAUCUACCAUUUGGUGGUGUUGGUAAUAGUGGCAUGGGAUCUUAUCAUGGGAAAGCAUCAUAUGAUACAUUCACCCAUCGAAAGUCUUGCCUGAUUCGUGACUACAACAAAAUUGCAGAUGCUAUUGGCAAAAAGAGAUACCCACCAUAUAGUGAAGGGAAUAUGUUAUUCCUUUCCAAAAUGUUGCAAGAAAAGACAAUUCCUGGCCUGAAGUACCUGCCCUAUUUGCUAACAUUUGGUCUUGGUAUUGCCACUGCAUUUGCCAUCAGAGAAAUAGCUAAGAAUGAUAUACAAGAUUGGGUGAAGCGUAGAGCGGGUCGUGCAAUUGAGUUAAUGCGACUCCUUUAGACUUUUUAGUCAAAUGUAAAGCUAAAGCCUUUAGGAUAACAUGAAAUUGUGAUAUCAAGCUGCUGGUGGUGAUGAAGACUGAGUUGCUAAGGAAAAGAAUUGGUGAUACAAGAAUACUGCUCUUGUAUUACGGAGAUGAAGUGCAUUUUUGUUUGAAAUAUUUUAUCUUACAUAUAAUACAGUAUGUAUAAGCUUGCUUAAUAUAGUUAUUGAUUAGAAUGAUUGGUAUGGUUAUUAGCUGAGAAAUUUGGUUGUCAAUGAUGUUUGAAGAUACUGUAUCAUUUUUUUCUUGCAGGUUUAUUUUUAUAAAAGGAAUUGAAAAAUAUUUUUCUGUGCAUUCCUUGUGGAAAAUUUAAAACUAUGUAUUAUAGUUAAGAUUGUCAGCCUGUUGUAUGGUUAUUGUUUCCAUUUGAAUAGUGUAAAAAUGUUUAGUUAAGGAUGCCAACCAUUUAUAUUUGGCAUCACAAAUUGAGUAAUGCUAGACUUUGAUGUUUUCUCGUGUAGCUGUUUAACUUCUUUACCUAUAUAGAAAUUUCAGUUCUAUGUUAAGAGCAAAUCAUAUAAGCAAGACCUAUGAGUCUAGAAAUGUGACUCCGUGGUCUCGUUAAACAGUUUUUCAGUAAUACUCUUUUGGUAGUGGGUGAUGAAAACAUCAAGGGUUUUAGUAUUACAUUACUAUUUUUAUUAUUUUGCUACUAAUAGUAAUUCACUAGAAGAAUUAAAUAAGUGCUGCCUUCUAAGUUUUAAAUAAAUUCCUGUACUGUACAGUAAUAAAAGCCCAUGCAAAUAGCAAGUGACUUGAGAAAAUUUCAUUAAAUCUAAAUUAUAAAUUGAAAGCCUAAUGUCAGCUUUCCUUCUGUAUCUUCCAAAGUUGGGUAGCUUCAUUGCUCAGCUGCCUUAAAAAUGUUGAAAGGUAUUUCAUCACAUGGACAGCCAAUGUUAUGCCUUGGAGAAAAUGCAAUAGGCACUUAUAUUGGAGUGAGCUCCAUGGCUUCCACAUGCAGUGCUCUUUGAACUUAUAAUUUUGAUCCCAGCUCAUUAAUGUUUUUUCACCUUUAUACUUAUUAAUUAAUGAUGUUAUAGUAGUACUGUUGUGGCCUUAAUCUCCACAUAUAUGUCCAAAACCUUUGUCACUAUUAGGAGCAAAUCAUAUUAAAUAUGAGUACUAUCAUGCUUUGCAGGGCUUCAAUUUCUUAUUCCAGAUCCUGAAGGAACAAAUUUUUAAUUGAAUAAAAUUAUAUUUACUGUA